UACAGGGGGUGCAAACGUUGCUCGGAAUCAUUGGGCGUAAAGCGUGCGCAGGCGGUUCGUUAAGUCAGAUGUGAAAGCCCCGGGCUCAACCUGGGAACUGCAUUUGAAACUGGCGGGCUUGAGUGCGGCAGAGGGGGGUGGAAUUCCGCGUGUAGCAGUGAAAUGCGUAGAGAUGUGGAGGAACACCGAUGGCGAAGGCAGCCUCCUGGGCCAGCACUGACGCUCAUGCACGAAAGCGUGGGGAGCAAACAGG
rnacentral:rRNA from 1 species